rnacentral:rRNA from 1 species
AGUGAACGCUGGCGGCGUGCCUAAUACAUGCAAGUCGAACGGAGUGGCGAACGGGUGAGUAAUAUAUAGCUAAUCUGCCCCUUGCUGGAGGACAACAGUUAGAAAUGACUGCUAAUACUCCAUAGAACGGGAUGAGACUAUAUCGUAUCAGCUAGUCGGUGGGGUAACGGCCUACCGAGGCUAUGACGCGUAACUGGUCUGAGAGGAUGAUCAGUCACAUUGGAACUGAGACACGGUCCAAACUCCUACGGGAGGCAGCAGGAGGGAAGAAUGCGCAGUGGGUGAAACCCUGACGCAGCAACGCUGCGUGGUGGAUGACACUUUUCUGAGCGUUAACUCCUUUUGUUAGGGAAGCGGUACCUAACGAAUAAGCACCGGCUAACUCCGUGCCAGCAGCCGCGGUAAUUC